rnacentral:rRNA from 1 species
GGUUAAGUUAGAAAGGGCGCACGGUGAAUGCCUUGGCACUAGGAGCCGAUGAAGGACGGGACUAACACCGAUAUGCUUCGGGGAGCUGUAAGUGAGCUUUGAUCCGGAGAUUUCCGAAUGGGGAAACCCACUGUUCGUAAUGGAACAGUAUCUUUAUCUGAAUACAUAGGAUAUUGAAGGCAGACCCGGGGAACUGAAACAUCUAAGUACCCGGAGGAAGAGAAAGCAAAUGCGAUUUCCUGAGUAGCGGCGAGCGAAACGGAAUUAGCCCAAACCAAGAGGCUUGCCUCUUGGGGUUGUAGGACACUCUAUACGGAGUUACAAAGGAACGAAGUAAAUGAAGCGACCUGGAAAGGUCCGUCGAAGAAGGUAACAACCCUGUAGUUGAAACUUCGUUCCCUCUUGAGUGGAUCCUGAGUACGGCGGAACACGUGAAAUUCCGUCGGAAGCUGGGAGGACCAUCUCCCAAGGCUAAAUACUACCUAGUGACCGAUAGUGAACCAGUACCGUGAGGGAAAGGUGAAAAGCACCCCGGAAGGGGAGUGAAAGAGAUCCUGAAACCGUGUGCCUACAAGUAGUCAGAGCCCGUUAACGGGUGAUGGCGUGCCUUUUGUAGAAUGAACCGGCGAGUUACGAUCCCAUGCAAGGUUAAGCUGAUAAGGCGGAGCCGUAGCGAAAGCGAGUCUGAAUAGGGCGUUUAGUAUGUGGUUGUAGACCCGAAACCAGGUGAUCUACCCAUGUCCAGGGUGAAGUUCAGGUAACACUGAAUGGAGGCCCGAACCCACGCACGUUGAAAAGUGCGGGGAUGAGGUGUGGGUAGCGGAGAAAUUCCAAUCGAACCUGGAGAUAGCUGGUUCUCUCCGAAAUAGCUUUAGGGCUAGCCUCAUGUUGUGAGAGUCUUGGAGGUAGAGCACUGAUUGGACUAGGGGCCCCCAACGGGUUACCGAAUUCAGUCAAACUCCGAAUGCCAAAGACUUAUCCAUGGGAGUCAGACUGCGAGUGAUAAGAUCCGUAGUCAAAAGGGAAACAGCCCAGACCACCAGCUAAGGUCCCCAAGUAUACGUUAAGUGGAAAAGGAUGUGGAGUUGCUUAGACAACCAGGAUGUUGGCUUAGAAGCAGCCAACAUUUAAAGAGUGCGUAAUAGCUCACUGGUCGAGUGACUCUGCGCCGAAAAUGUACCGGGGCUAAACGUAUCACCGAAGCUGUGGAUUGACAUCUUUGAUGUCAGUGGUAGGAGAGCGUUCUAAGUGCUGUGAAGUCAGACCGUAAGGACUGGUGGAGCGCUUAGAAGUGAGAAUGCCGGUAUGAGUAGCGAAAGACAAGUGAGAAUCUUGUCCACCGAAUGCCUAAGGUUUCCUGAGGAAGGCUCGUCCGCUCAGGGUUAGUCGGGACCUAAGCCGAGGCUGAAAAGCGUAGGCGAUGGCCAACAGGUUGAUAUUCCUGUACCACCUCCCCGCCGUUUGAGUAAUGGGGGGACGCAGUAGGAUAGGGUAAGCGCGCUGCUGGAUAUGCGCGUUCAAGCAGUUAGGCUGAUGAGUAGGCAAAUCCGCUCAUCAUGAAGGCUGAGCUGUGAUGACGAGGGAAUUAUAGUACCGAAGUUCCUGAUUCCACACUGCCAAGAAAAGCCUCUAGCGAGGCGGAAGGUGCCCGUACCGCAAACCGACACAGGUAGGCGAGGAGAGAAUCCUAAGGUGAUCGAGAGAACUCUCGUUAAGGAACUCGGCAAAAUGACCCCGUAACUUCGGGAGAAGGGGUGCUCUGGUAGGGUGUAUAGCCCGAGAGAGCCGCAGUGAAUAGGCCCAGGCGACUGUUUAGCAAAAACACAGGUCUCUGCGAAGCCGCAAGGCGAAGUAUAGGGGCUGACGCCUGCCCGGUGCUGGAAGGUUAAGAGGAGGGGUUAUCCUUUGGGAGAAGCUCUGAAUCGAAGCCCCAGUAAACGGCGGCCGUAACUAUAACGGUCCUAAGGUAGCGAAAUUCCUUGUCGGGUAAGUUCCGACCCGCACGAAAGGCGUAACGAUCUGGGCACUGUCUCAACGAGAGACUCGGUGAAAUUAUAGUACCUGUGAAGAUGCAGGUUACCCGCGACAGGACGGAAAGACCCCGUGGAGCUUUACUGUAGCCUGAUAUUGAAUUUUGGUACAGCUUGUACAGGAUAGGUAGGAGCCUGAGAAGCCGGAGCGCUAGCUUCGGUGGAGGCGUCGGUGGGAUACUACCCUGGCUGUAUUGAAAUUCUAACCCGCGGCCCUGAUCGGGCCGGGAGACAGUGUCAGGUGGGCAGUUUGACUGGGGCGGUCGCCUCCUAAAAUGUAACGGAGGCGCCCAAAGGUUCCCUCAGAAUGGUUGGAAAUCAUUCGUAGAGUGUAAAGGCACAAGGGAGCUUGACUGCGAGACCUACAAGUCGAGCAGGGACGAAAGUCGGGCUUAGUGAUCCGGUGGUUCCGCAUGGAAGGGCCAUCGCUCAACGGAUAAAAGCUACCCCGGGGAUAACAGGCUUAUCUCCCCCAAGAGUCCACAUCGACGGGGAGGUUUGGCACCUCGAUGUCGGCUCAUCGCAUCCUGGGGCUGUAGUCGGUCCCAAGGGUUGGGCUGUUCGCCCAUUAAAGCGGUACGCGAGCUGGGUUCAGAACGUCGUGAGACAGUUCGGUCCCUAUCCGUCGUGGGCGUAGGAAAUUUGAGAGGAGCUGUCCUUAGUACGAGAGGACCGGGAUGGACACACCGCUGGUGUACCAGUUGUCUUGCCAAAGGCAUCGCUGGGUAGCUAUGUGUGGACGGGAUAAGUGCUGAAAGCAUCUAAGCAUGAAGCCCCCCUCAAGAUGAGAUUUCCCAUAGCGCAAGCUAGUAAGAUCCCUGAAAGAUGAUCAGGUUGAUAGGUCAGAGGUGGAAGCGUGGCGACAUGUGUAGCUGACUGAUACUAAUCGAUCGAGGACUUAACCAA